rnacentral:tmRNA from 1 species
GGGGCUGAGCUUUGGAUUUCGACAAGAUUCUUGUUGCAUAGAUAGCAUGCCAAGUGCGACUUGUAAAAAUAGCAACAAAAAUAACUGUAAACAAUACAAAUUACGCUCCAGCUUACGCUAAAGCUGCGUAAGUUAAUCUCCAUUUGGAGCUGGACUGAUUGAAAUUUCUAGCGUUUUAAUCACUCCAUAACCCUAAGCUAGAUGCGUUUAAAAAGUGGUUCGCUUUUUAAAUUAAGAUUAAAGAACUCUUAGGAUUAUCUUAAGGUUUUAGAAAAUUGAACCAAAGGUAGUUUUAAGGCUAAAAAACCAAUCAAUUUUCUAAGCAUGUAGAAGUUUGUGUUUAGAACAAGAUUUUUGGACUGGGGUUCGAUUCCCCACAGCUCCACCA